CUAGUACUCCCUCCGUCCGGAAUUACUUGUCAUCAAAGUGGAUGAAAAUGAAUGUAUCUAGAACUAAAAUACAUCUAGAUACAUCCAUUUCAAUGACAAGUAUUUCCGGACGGAGGGAGCAGUAG
rnacentral:pre_miRNA from 1 species